CCUACGGGGGGCAGCAGUGGGGAAUAUUGGACAAUGGGGGGAACCCUGAUCCAGCCAUGCCGCGUGUGUGAAGAAGGCCCUCGGGUUGUAAAGCACUUUCAGUGAGGAAGAACGCCUGGUGGUUAAUACCCAUCAGGAAAGACAUCACUCACAGAAGAAGCACCGGCUAACUCCGUGCCAGCAGCCGCGGUAAUACGGAGGGUGCGAGCGUUAAUCAGAAUUACUGGGCGUAAAGCGCGCGUAGGUGGCUUGAUAAGCCGGUUGUGAAAGCCCCGGGCUCAACCUGGGAACGGCAUCCGGAACUGUCAAGCUAGAGUGCAGGAGAGGAAGGUAGAAUUCCCGGUGUAGCGGUGAAAUGCGUAGAGAUCGGGAGGAAUACCAGUGGCGAAGGCGGCCUUCUGGACUGACACUGACACUGAGGUGCGAAAGCGUGGGUAGCAAACAGGAUUAGAUACCCGAGUAGUC
rnacentral:rRNA from 1 species